rnacentral:lncRNA from 1 species
CACGCCAGGUAAUUAGUGGAAUCCAAUUUGAGUGGGAUCUGAGCAUAUGUAUUUAUGGCAAUUGGUUGGAGAAGAUCGUUUGAUGUCGUAGCGGCCAUGAAGCGCGAGGCAAAGGAUAGAAGGCGCUGAUCGACACCGAGAGAGAGAGCUGCCGAUUAGUGCAGCUGCGGCGCAGCAAGACGCCGGAGAGAAGGCGCUGAGAGAGAGGGCUGCCGGUUAGUGCAGCGGUAGCGCGGCAAGACGCCGGAGAGAAG